CUUCACUGUCCACGCUAUACCCACUGCCAAAGCUGCUGCCCGAGGAGCCGGUGGACACAGAGCUUUCUGCAGGCCGGUGAUUGAAGUGAAGAAGCAAAAUAGAAUAACAUUAAGAAGAGAGUGAAAAUUUUGUGCUUGUUUGUAUGUAGCUCUACCAACUAUCUCUAGCAGGUUUUAAAAAUUUAAAGGUAUUUGUUUUCCCUUUGGCAUUUCCUAGUUUAUGGCUAGAACUUGUUUCAAAAAUUUCAUGUUUGAUUUUUUUCAUACAAGAAUUCCUGGUCCCAUAGACACAUUAUCAACUUGAACUCUAAUUUAUUCAGUAGAAGCAUAGUACUAACAUUGUUAGCAGAGUUCUAGAUUUACAGAAGAUUUAGAAGGAAAUUUUGAUGCAAAAAGAAGGAAAAGAAGAUCCUUGAAAGGGUGUGUGGGACCUUCCAAAGGUCAAUGGACACACUUUGAGAAUUACAGGCACUUGGAUAGUCACAUGCCCAACACAUCUGAUACACUUAACAACUAUGGAAACACGAGUGGAAAAUGUCUGCUUGUAGGAUCAAGAGAACUUUCACCCUGUAAAGGUGAGUGAGUGCGUUAACAAUUUUUCCUUUACUUUCCUCUAAGAAUUUCCAAAAUUCACUGAAUUUUUAAAAAGUUACACUUGAAAUAAUAGGCAACAAAACUGAUCUACAUUUCAACUGGUAUGCUAACUUGACUUGUGAGCAAUUUAAACUUUUAUCACAAUGCAACAUAUUUAUAGUCAUGCUUGAACAGAUUAGGUUAGUAGCAUGCAUUCCAUUCUGCCAUAUGAAUACUGUUAAUCUAUUUCCCAACAAAUGUCAAAAGAUGCCCAGUGCAUAGAAAAAUACAAAUCACUGUAGUCAAUAGAUUACGGGACUGAUCUUGGGACUUACAUGGUGAUGAUGAAGUCCUGAAAUGCCAUGCUCACAAAAGCACAUUAAAAAGUGGAUAAACAUAUUUAUCAGACAAUCUCUAAAAAUUAAAGAUGAGAGCUUUAAGUUUGGGGGAUGUUCUUGCUGUGUGCUUUGAACAGGGCCUUUUUCUGCUCACCUCCUUCUGGCUUGACUGGUCCAUCAGACAUCACCUUCCUGAGGGCUAGCUGGCUUUGGUCUUGGUUGCCAUUGGCUGGUGGAGGCAGAUUAUCAGACUGAGUUCUUUGAAUGGGGAGGACUCCUGCUAUGCUGUGUCUGUGCUGCUUCCUGGCAUGAUUGGACUGACCGCUUUUAUGUGCUGCUGUGGCGGUGUGGGUGAAAUGGAAACCCAGAGUAUGUAUCCUCAGAUGGAACCAGCUUAAAUGUUAUUCAUGCAAACAGAAGUGUUCUUUUGCUCUAAGUAUUUAAGUAAGUUGUGUUUUUAAAUGCCGAAAUGACACCACAUGCACAGCACUAACGGGGGUUAAAACUGGCUGUUUCUUUGAAAAUGACGACUAGGGAGAAGGGGAGAACAACACUCUAUCUUCAUUGGCUUAUGCUUCUUAGAAGUCACAGUGUACCAACUUCUGUGAAAUAUCUGCACUUACGAGGUUUUUAUAUAAUUGAAUCAGCUGACUAAAUUUUCACAAAUGAAAUGAAAAUACAGUAGUUAAAAUGAGUGAAUUGCUAUACUUUGAUUUACACCUACCAACAUAGCACAUCGUGACUUUCAUAGAAUUUCCAAUAAUUCGAAAAAAAUAGCCUGGAUAUUCUCUGUUAUCAUGUACAAAGUGUGAUCCAACAGAAUGGACCCAUUGUGCUCCUCAAUGAGGUUGUGUUAUCUCCUCACAUAUGCUAAUACACAUAUAUGUAUAUAUAUAUAUAUUUUAAUUUUAAGACUAUAAGAAAUAUAAUUUUCCCCACAGAUUUUUCAAAAGACUAGAAAGUUGCACAGAUGGAAAGCUACAACAUUUUACAUGCAUAAUUUAUUGGUGUUUUGAAGCACUGGUUUAAAAUGGCUUUUCCCCCUGGAUUCUAGAACUUGACUGUUGAUCACAUUACUUUUCUCCUUAAAAUUUUUGAGUGUUUUCAGGAACAAGAAUCUCAUUGCUAAUCUGCUCUAAAUACUAAAGUGUAUGUGCUUUUUUGGUGUAAUGUCUGGAAGACUGGCAGCCGCUUGUGCUUAUAGUUCCCGUAUUCUAAAGGAUAUUUAAGCGCACACAUAAAGGACGCACAACGUUGCUUUGCCUGCAAACAUCACAGACACAGCGACCAAAUGCUAUGAGCCAGGUUGGAUGGAUGGUGGAAACAAAGGAGAAACAGCCAGUUUUUUUGCAGUCUAUGUAAGUUAAAAAAAAAAAAAA